rnacentral:lncRNA from 1 species
CCCUGUUAUGGUGUAGCGUUUGAUAGCCCCUAAGUAAGACGAUCCACAUCUUGAGUACAUGCGACAAUCUCAGGUCUAAGGACAAAAUGUACAUGUUGUGUGAAUACAUAACUACUUCUCGUGUUGGGUCAGUCCUAGCAUAUGUCUCCACAUAUUCCUACAUUAUUAGUUUGGCAUCUCCAUGUCCAUGACUUGUGAAACAUAGUCAUCCACUAAUACAUGUACUAGUCUAAUAUUCAUGUGUGUCCUCACAUGAACUCCAACUAGGGACAACUUUAGAAUAACCAUACAAGUAAAGAGUUUCACAUACAAUUUACAUAAUUGCAAAUAAAUUCAAGUAGCCUUUAAUGAAUAUUCAAGGAACAUAAUAUAAAACAUGGAUACAAAUGGAAUAUCAUCAUCUCUAUGAUUGCCUCUAGGGCAUACCUCCAACAGUCUCCCACUUGCACUAGAGUCAAUCUAGAAGGUAUCUAAUACCCAUAGCUCUUACAUGCGCAUCAUGCUUAGCCUGCGGAAGUGGCUUUGUCAACGGAUCAAAAAUGUUCAAAUCCGUGUGUAUUUUGCAUAUCUUGAUCUCAC